UGUAUCUGUGCUAGCACAAAAAGAUUUUAAAAUUUAUUUCAAUAAAGAUUUUUAUUCUAUUUAUUUAUGAAAUAAAUUGAUCGCACGAGAUCUUUUAAUUGACAGUCUCUAUCACUUGCAUGUUGAUGCGAAUGUGAACCUAAAUGAGCAAAUAGUGAGUGUCAUAGGCCAAAACAGAACUAGAGAUAAAAUUAACCAGAAGUACUUGUGGCACCAUAGAUUAGGCC
rnacentral:lncRNA from 1 species